rnacentral:rRNA from 1 species
GAUGAACGCUAGCUACAGGCUUAACACAUGCAAGUCGAGGGACCGGCGCACGGGUGAGUAACACGUAUCCAACCUGCCCUUUACUCGGGGAUAGCCUUUCGAAAGAAAGAUUAAUACCCGAUAUAAAGGAUGGGGAUGCGUUCCAUUAGGUUGUUGGUGAGGUAACGGCCAACCAAGCCUUCGAUGGAUAGGGGUUCUGAGAGGAAGGUCCCCCGCAUUGGAACUGAGGCACGGUCCAAACUGCUACGGGAGGCAGCAGUGAGGAAGAUUGGGCAAUGGGCGGUAGCCUGAACCAGCCAAGUAUCGGGAAGGAUGAAGGCGUAGGGGUCGUAAGCUGCUUUUGUAUAAGAAUAUGUAUUAUAUGAAUAAGGAUCGGCUAACUCCGUGCCAGCCGCCGCGGUAAUUC